rnacentral:rRNA from 1 species
GAUGAACGCUGGCGGCGUGCCUAAUACAUGCAAGUCGAGCGAACAGACGAGGAGCUUGCUCCUCUGACGUUAGCGGCGGACGGGUGAGUAACACGUGGAUAACCUACCUAUAAGACUGGGAUAACUUCGGGAAACCGGAGCUAAUACCGGAUAAUAUAUUGAACCGCAUGGUUCAAUAGUGAAAGACGGUUUUGCUGUCACUUAUAGAUGGAUCCGCGCCGCAUUAGCUAGUUGGUAAGGUAACAGCUUACCAAGGCAACGAUGCGUAGCCGACCUGAGAGGGUGAUCGGCCACACGGGAACUGAGACAAGGUCCAGACUCCUACGGGAGGCAGCAGUAGGGAAUCGUCCGCGAUGGGCGAAAGCCUGACGGAGCAACGCCGCGUGAGUGAUGAAGGUCUUCGGAUCGUAAAACUCUGUUAUUAGGGAAGAACAAAUGUGUAAGUAACUAUGCACGUCUUGACGGUACCUAAUCAGAAAGCCACGGCUAACUACGUG